GGCGCUCGACAUCUCAGCCAGACGCCGUGAAGACCGAGGAAGCCUGAUCUCUCCCGGCCCUUCUUCCCUGCGAGCGGAGCGGAGAGCUACCUCGACGGUCGCCGGAACCUGCGUCUCCGUCUCUAGCUCGACAAUAGGUAUGGUAAAAUCGAUCCGUUACCCUCUCUGGGUGAAGCCUGAUGCAAGCACAUCCUUUUCUCCUUCGAGCGUCAACAUCUGCGACGCCCUUCCACGGAGCUAUAGAAGCCACGCCGUGAACGAAGCCGGUGGCAGUCUGCGACGCUUCUGCAGCGUGCACGGGCGAUCCGCGGACCUGUUUUUUCCUCGCUCCCCUUUGCGAUCUCGCUCCCAUCUGCGAUCAAGGUGACGCAAGGAUCUAAACUCAACUUUCCGGUAAUGGUAGAAGCCAGCGUGGGAGACUCAAUAAUCAGGCGAAUCUAGAAAAAGAAGAAUCGACAAUCAUGCGUCCAGCCCCGUCGACUACCAUCUAGACAGGUUCAUCUUCCUGUCACUCGCCGGAGGCGGAGACUUGGAGACCUGACGCUGCUCGCCGGAGUCUGCGAUCGUAUUAUAUAUCUAUGUUGAAUACAUGCCAGCCUCACAAGUGUGUAAAAGCUAACCUUCAGUCAUUUCCACGGCAGUUAUAGAAACAAGAAACAAUAAAAGUAUGACCUCAUCAUAAAUCAGGAAACAAUUAUUUUCGCCGUACACGUAGCCAUUUGUAGACUGAAACUUCAGUCUACGAACAGCCUCCUAGCUGAGUUUCAGGAAAACAACCUUCAAUCAUUUCAACUCAGCUAGCUUCUGACCCGUACACGUUGCCAUUUGCAGACUGAAGUUUCAGGAAAACAAAAUGUUGAAUGUGUCCACCUAAAUGAUACAGUAUCAUCGUUGUCAGAGACAUAUCAUGCUGAGCUCGCUCUGCAAUCUAUGCUUGUGUAUCCACUCUUGCAGUUUCCUUGCGACCUCAUCUUAGUCAUUGCCGCCUGCAAUAGGAACAAUAUAACAAGAGAACAUUUUCGCAGAUAAUGUCACAUGUGAAAAAAAACUGAACUCUUGGAAUUUGUUACUUCCUCACAAGUAAUGACAUGCAUAGAUGCAAAAAUCUAGCUACCUUGUAUAUUGAGUGAAUCAUAAAAAACCUGUCGCAAAUAUUCCCAUGUGUAAUGGAGCAGAUGACUAGAGUUCAGCUCAAAGAUACUUCGUAUGCAAAGAUUGAGUGGGGUGAUAAGCCACCUAAUGUUAAAAAAUGUAGUGUCCUUAAUAGAAGUACAAAAUAAGCCAUAUGAUCUAGUAUUCAAUGGUACUAGCUGCAGAUUAAACUAAAAAAAA